AGAGGAGAGGAGAGGAGAGGAGAGAGGAGAGGAGAGGAGAACAUGAUUGCCAUAAUUUUCAGAUAUAAAUUAGCUGGACUCCCGGACCCAGAUUCCCCAGGCAUAAAAAUCAAUUGAGUAUCUCCAGUAGGCUGCAGAAAGGGGAGAGGAGACCCGUAGAUUAGCCCUCCACUGGUCCACUGGGCCAAUCAGGAAGCGUCUGUUGUGGGUGUGACGCGUCUGUCGACGUAUCCUAUAUUACGAUUGGUUUACCAAGCUGCUUGUUAAAAGGAGCGCCUCUAUUUUGAGGAAGUUUUAGGACAUCGUCAAGAUAUUGAAAUGACAACAGCUAUUGUAGAUAGCUAUGGAUGUGAAAGCGGAUCUAUUUAAAACCAAAUGAGAAAGCUGUGGAAUUGUUGACAAACUAACAAGGUAGAUGACAACGUGGGUCUGCUGCUGUCAGAGCUGAAGCGGUUGGCGUUGUGGGGGCGUGUCAACGUCAUCGUCACCAGCGACCAGGGAAUGGCCCAGUAUUACACUGAUCGCAUCAUCAGACUGGACGAAUGUCAUCACCCUGACAACUACUCAGUAGUAGACCUAACCCUUGCUGCUAUCAUACCCAAUGGAGCUAUACACACACACACACACACAUAUACUCAUUGUGAGUGAGAAGUUUAUGACUAGUUAAAGGAGAUUCUGGUUAAUGUGUCAGCUGCUGGGGCUGCCACUGGCGCCAAACAACUGAUCUCUGUCCCAGGCACGCUGCUUCCUGGCUGGGGAGGGCUGUGUCGACACCCCCCUAAUGGUGGGACUGGUGGUGGGGGUACUGCUGGUUCUCACCACACUCACAGGUCUGUUCAAGUUGUGGAGGCCACGGCGUCAGUCUGCCUCUCGUCCCUUCCAACACAUCUCGAUACAGAACGAUGAUGUUGAUGAUGCUGACCCUCUGCUAGACUAAAUUAAUCAAUCACAGCUCCCAGCCCGACUAUAAUGACCAACCACAGAUCAUAACAACAAACCAUGCAGCAAAACAAGCAACAAACCAAAGCUUACCACCAUGCUCCCAACAACCAGUCAGAACUCAAAUGGGAAUAAAUAGGGAAUAGUGUAAUUUCAGACACAGCCAUACUCUUUUACAAGAGUUACAGAGCGGUAGUCAGAUUUCAGAUUUAUACACUCCUCAUUCUCUAUGGUACAAUACUUACAGUAUGGAGUAUUCAAAUAAAUAUGUACACUAUAAAUAAACAUAUUGAACCAUAAAUAGAUAAAACUAAAGAAAUAAGACACUAAAGAGAACAGUCAAUUAGUAGAAACAGACUGGGGUUACUUGAAUUUGUCUGUAUACAGAGAAACCAUCUAAUAUGAUACAACUAGUGUUUAUAUAUUUGAAGAAAUGCUCUGUUAAUUUUUUUGCAAGACAAUCCUAUAAAGAAGAAUACAUGUUUGCUAGGAGAGCUUCUGGUAAAGGGAUGUAAAUUUGUAUUUUGAAGAGUUUAUUUCCUAAAGAGUACCGCUAUAUUGCAGAAGUAGCAGUAGUAAUUGUUUGAACAGCAGUGAUGGGUUUUGUUAGCUACUCUGUAGACUGCUGAGCCAGGGAGUGGAGUCAGAAGCAGGACUGAAGCUAUGUUUCUGCUGUUUGUUAGUCAGUUAAUUUGAUUAUAUUUAGAAGUGUGUGUGUCUGUGUGUGCUGAGGUAAGCUAUAGCUCUGGUACUGUAUGGUUUCCUGUAGUGUUAAAAGGAGACAGACGAGCCAUAUUGUUCGAUUCAGGUCCUUUAUCUGAAAAUAAGUUAUUGAAGGAAAACAGUUUCAGUUUGUCUGAUUCUCUGGUCAAGCCACUGUGUGUGCGUGUGCCCGCGUGUGUGUGUUGGCAGAGAAAGGCUGUGUGCCUGUGUGUGUGUUUGUCGGUGUAGAGAAGUCAAAGAUCUGCUGUUACUAUGGUUACUAUACCAUAGUAACCAUAGUACUAUGAUUAAUAUGCUGUAACUGUGCUGUUAUUAUGGUUACUGCACAGUAACUCUACUGUUACUAUGUCAACCGCCCACCUCCAUGUGACUACUGAACUGGUCCUCAGGGUGUUUCUGCUCAUAUUGUCAUUGACUGACAUAUGAAGCGUAAAGUAAACCUAAAUGUUGUAUCCACAUUGUAUCAUUAUUUUUGCAAAGCAUCUAUGAUUAAUCAUUACACUGGAUAUAACUGAUGUGUGUG